CAAGGCAGUGAUAACUCCUAUACGCCAUAUAAACAAAACACUUUAUACUUUGACAAGACGGCCGCGAUGUUUAAGAAUUAGAAUUAAGAUUCGUAACAUUCAUUCAUACAGCCUGAGAAAGUGGCUUGUAUUGAUCACGGAGUAAUCAGUUAUCAAGUCAGACAAGUCCAUGCUCAUUAUAAGCUUCAACAAAGAUGUCGGAAUUAACGAGACGGAGGUGUCGGGACAUCAGAAGUUAAAACCCAAACAAGGAAGCGCUGCGUUCGUUACAUGUCUGUUACAACAGGCUAUUUAAAUAUAAUCAUAGAAUAUAAGUAUUUCUCUACACCAGUCAAAACUUU